rnacentral:lncRNA from 10 species
GUUUUCUUAUCACUUCUAGUAUUUAAAAACUUGAUCCAGUUCAAUUUAAAACUGUUAUCUCAUUCUCUCCAUUCACUCACCCAAGGUGCCUUGAGUAGCAGCCAGAGAGACUUGGAGGAUAGGGAAGAGCAUGCUAAAGGAAUGCCAGCACUUUCAGAUUCAUUCCUCUACUUACUUCAGCACUUGGAGUAGAGAAGAAACAGGCUCUCACUAUGUUGCUCAGACUUGGUUUCGAACUCCUGACCUCAAUGAUCCCCCCACCUCAACUGCUGAGUAGCUGGGAUUACAGGCAUGAACCACCAAGCCCAACAAGAAUAUUUUAAUAUGUUUAACAGAAUUCAGAACUCUUUAACUGUGAUAAAAAACUAUGCUUUUCUUUGACUCUAAAUAUGUUACUUGAAAUAUCAUUAACGUGAAGUUGUUUUUAUGAUUGCACUGAGUAUUUAUCACAAGCCAUUUAUAUCGUCAACUCAGCUCUUAGAUCGCAAAUUUACAGGAUGGCUAGAAGACCUGCACGAAAUGUCUGUGGACAGACAAGGAGUUUGCCAGUCUUCAUAGGUAUGGGACCUAUGAAUUUGGAUUAUGUAGCAUUUUGCUGCAACCCGAUGAUUAUCAAAAUUUUUUCUGGUUGUGAGUUUCCGAGAGUUUUAUGCAAGACUCUGCUUAAUAAUUGUAGCUCCAUCCUCUCUCUCUCUCUCAAGAGAAUACAUUGAAAUACACAAGUGUGGGAUUAAGCUUAUUUUUAUGGAUAAGACUAAUUGUUCUCUAGCUUAAUUAAAAUGAAAUAUAUAAUUUACAAAUGUACGUACUUCAAACAUUAUUUAUUAGUAGUAAUAUAUUUCCUGAAACCUCAUAACACUUUGAAACGCUCCACAAUGUGACUAUUUCAAAAUCAAGAGCUAAUGCUCUAACAUAAUAGUUCCCCAGCUUAUAAAUUUAUUUCAUGUCCAAAACAAUUAAAUGGGAUAUAGUGGGAAUGAAUUUAAAAAAUCCACACUUCUUGAUGAUUAUAAGUGGUUUAGUUAAGGAAAUGUUAAGGCUAGUCUCAUCAACUUUAAUGUAUGAUCAAUUCACUUCAGUUCAAUAUUUACAGAGCAUAUACUGUGUACAAAGAACUGGGGUAGGAACUAUGGCUGCUGAAGUAGUUCGGGACAUGCUACCCCAAAAUAUUGUUUAUUUUGAGAUGAAGGCACUUGAGAACAG